UGGGGAAUAUUGCACAAUGGGCGAAAGCCUGAUGCAGCAACGCCGCGUGAGUGAUGGAGGCCUUCGGGUUGUAAAGCUCUGUCUUUUGGGACGAUAAUGACGGUACCAAAGGAGGAAGCCACGGCUAACUACGUCGCCAGCAGCCGCGUAAUACGUAGGUGGCAAGCGUUGUCCGGAUUUACUGGGCGUAAAGGAUGCGUAGGCGGAUUUUUAAGUGAGAUGUGAAAACCCUAAGCUUAACUUGGGGACUGCAUUUCAUACUGGAAAUCUAGAGUGCGGGAGAGGAGAAUGGAAUUCCUAGUGUAGCGGUGAAAUGCGUAGAGAUUAGGAAGAACACCAGUGGCGAAGGCGAUUCUCUGGACCGUAACUGACGCUGAGGCAUGAAAGCGUGGGUAGCAAACAGGAUUAGAUACCCUGGUAGUCCACGCCGUAAACGAUGAGUACUAGGUGUAGGAGGUAUCGACCCCUUCUGUGCCGCAGUUAACACAAUAAGUACUCCGCCUGGGAAGUACGAUCGCAAGAUUAAAACUCAAAGGAAUUGACGGGGUCAUAGCUGUUUUCCU
rnacentral:rRNA from 1 species